rnacentral:pre_miRNA from 1 species
GUUGUACUCCAUCCGUUCCGAAUUACUUGUCGCGGGUAUGAAUGUAUCUAGAUGUAUUUUAGUUCUAGAUACAUCCAUUUCUGCGACAAGUAAUUUGGAACGGAGGGAGUAUUUG